AUGCUGGUGACAGCUCGAACAAAAGAUGCAGCUGGUGCUCUAUGUGCCAAUGAACUUAUUAAAAUGCCUGGUUUGGAUGAGGAUGAGUACUUGAAGAUGUUUAUGCAUUAUGCAUUGGAUGGUACAAGUUGUGCUCAUGAAGAAUUUAUCUCAGUUGGGAGAGAGAUUGCCAAAAAGCUACAUCGAUCACCUGUUGCAGCAGUAACAGUUGCAGGACGGCUUGGGGCAAACCCAAAUAUCAGUUUUUGGAAAAAUGUUGCAAAGCUUGACAUGUUGAAUGACACCAUGGAUGCUCUCUGGUGGAGCUAUAAGCAGCUUAAUCCAGACAUCAGGCGAUGCUUUGAAUUCUGCAAUGUUUUCCCCAGAAGAUUGAAGUUGAGAAAGGAUGAGUUAGUUCACCUGUGGAUAGCACAAGGGUUUGUAAAGAGCAGUUGUGCAACAGAGGAGAUGGAAGAUGUAGCUGAGGGCUACAUUCAAGAGUUAGUAUCAUGCUCAUUUCUGCAACCAGAAGGAGAUUACUUUGCAAUCCAUGAUCUGCUGCAUGAUUUAGCAGAAAAGAUCGUCGGAAGUGAUUUCUUCAGAAUCGAGAAUGAAAGGAGCCAGAGAGGAGGAGCCUGGAAAGGGGAUGUCCCUGGAGAUGUCCGGCAUCUUUUUGUUCAGAAUUAUGAUGCAGAAUUGAUUACUGAGAAGAUCCUUGGAUUGGAAAAUUUACGCACUCUUAUCAUUGAUGCUGUUAAUGGGGAUACACCAGUCGAGGAAAAAGUCAUUGAGAGUAUAUGCAAGAGGCUGCCGAAAUUGCGGGUACUAGCCAUUGCUUUCACCAAGAAACAUUUUGGAAUGAGGAAAUCCAACAAGUUAUCGGUCCCAAAAUCUAUUGCUCAGUUAAAGCACCUACGCUAUCUUGCUUUCAGGACAGAUAUGGCAUGCUCUAUAACUUUACCAAGGGCACUAACGAAACUUCACAAUAUCCAGCUACUAGAUUUUAGCGGCGGCCGAAUGUUGGAAUUCCCCUUUGCUGACCUUGUCAACUUGCGGCACAUGUUCUGCUGGCCAAACUUGAAAUUCCCUAACUUGGGCAGGCUGAUCUCACUCCAAACACUACCAUGCUUCACAGUAAGCAAUGAACAGGGUUAUGAGAUAAGGCAGCUGAGGGACCUAAACAAGCUUCAAGGACGACUGAGAAUCAAGGGCCUGCAAAAUGUUAAAAGCAAGGAGGAAGCUCUUGAAGCCAAUCUAGCUGCCAAGGAACGGUUAACAGAACUGAGUUUCGAAUGGGAUGAUGAUACCAGGUGCAGUUCAGAAGUUGAAGCAGAGGUACUUGAGGGCCUGUGCCCUCCUGCGGGGCUUCAAAAACUUGAUAUAUUUGGAUACAGAGGUUCAAGGUACCCAGAUUGGAUGGUGGGUAAGCAGAGCGGUGGCCCAGAGGGCCUGCGAAAUCUUUAUCUCUGGGGAUGCAGCCAACUAGGACCUGGUCCUGAAUUUGAUGCUUUCCCUCAUCUUCGUGUGCUCGAGAUUUGGUCCUGCAGCUGGGACUCCUUAGCAGGCAACAUGGAGCACCUCACGUUGCUCAAGGAACUGCAUAUCGUGGGAUGCAAGAAUAUCCGGUCUCUUCCAACACUGCCCCAGUCUAUUGAGCAAUUGUAUCUUGCUUCCUGCAGCGAUGAGUUGACGGAGUCCUGUAAAACAGCCGGACAUCCAAACUGGCAAAAGAUUGGGCACAUCCCCAGGAAAGAUUUUUUGUGA
rnacentral:rRNA from 1 species